rnacentral:ncRNA from 2 species
AACCCGUAGAUCCGAACUU